CUUAGCUUAGUAACAUAAAAAAAUUCAGCAGUGAUUUACAAAUCAUGAUAUAUCAUUACAUUCCGCAUGCCAGAGACAUUUUAAAUGACAUGUAAUUACAUAGACCUGUAUUUAAACGCAAAAAAGCGCAAUGUACUUUAACAUUACAUCAAACACAGACUUUGAUUCAGUAUGUUCCAUUUGUUUGUUAGGAGUACAUUCUCACCGAAAGUUAUGAUUCCUUCAGCGGAUAUCAACAAGUACACCAUUAGACAGGCCACAAAUGAAUCACAAAUGAGAAAUGGACGCAAAAUCAGUUCCAGUUCUUGUUCUAGCAAGCAAUGGCCUAAAAUUAACUAAAAUUUGUUAAUUUCUUAUUUUCUUUUGUACCUGCAAACAAUAAACAUACUAAAAUGAAAA